AACACCUACGGGACGCAGCAGUGGGGGAUAUUGCACAAUGGGGGGAACCCUGAUGCAGCGACGCCGCGUGGGUGAAGGAGCGUUUCGGCGCGUAAAGCCCUAUCGGCAGGGAAGAAGAUGGCGGUACCUGACCAAGAAGCCCCGGCUAACUACGUGCCAGCAGCCGCGGUAAUACGUAGGGGGCAAGCGUUAUCCGGAUUUACUGGGUGUAAAGGGAGCGUAGACGGCAGCGCAAGUCUGGAGUGAAAUGCCGGGGCCCAACCCCGGAACUGCUUUGGAAACUGGGCAGCUCGAGUGCAGGAGAG
rnacentral:rRNA from 1 species